AAAUGUGAUGACGAUCGAUGGACUUUAAUUUACCUCAUGUUCAGUUUCAAUGAAAAUCGUAUCCAGACGUAGACAGAGGAUCCUUUUAGAGCACCGACUGGCAUGGCUGACGAAAACCAACAAAUUCAGUCCGUUUUAAUGAUGCUUGUGAAUUUGUCAAAUCGUUUUGAAAAGAAUGAAAGUCGUUCUGAAAAGUUAGAGAGUCUUUUUGAAAAUUUUGAAACUGUAUUAAAAGAAGAAAUUGCCCAACUUGGAAAAAGACAAAGGAUGCAAGAUGAAUGGACCCAAACCACAGAUGGUUUAGAAUCUAGAACACUGGCAGAAGGGACGCCCAUCGAUGUCAAGAAAACUGAAAAAGGUUCCAGUGCAGGUAGAAGAGUUGUAUAAUAU